rnacentral:misc_RNA from 1 species
GAUGAAGAACGUAGCGAAAUGCGAUAAGUAAUGUGAAUUGCAGAAUUCAGUGAAUCAUCGAAUCUUUGAACGCACAUUGCGCCCGCCAGUAUUCUGGCGGGCAUGCCUGUUCGAGCGUCAUUUCAACCAUCAAGCCCAGGCUUGUGUUGGGGACCUGCGGCUGCCGCAGGCCCUGAAAACCAGUGGCGGGCUCGCUGUCACACCGGGCGUAGUAGAUUUUAUCUCGCUCAGGGCGUGCUGCGGGUUCCGGCCGUUAAAAAGCCUUUUUUACCCAAGGUUGACCUCGGAUCAGGUAGGAAUACCCGCUGAACUUAAGCAUAUCAAUAAGCGGAGGA